rnacentral:lncRNA from 1 species
UCGUGAUAACAGGAUCUUAAAUACCAGUGUACUGAAUUCUGUUGGCACUUCACUGAGCGGUUUCACAGAGCUCUUCAGAUACCUUCUCCUCCCCAUGUCCUGUGUGUACAGGUUCCUGCCAUCUCAUUAGCAUACGAAGCGGCUGAGAGCGACAUCAUGAAGAGGCAGCCACGGAACUCCCAGACGGACAAGCUGGUGAACGAGAGGCUUAUCAGCAUGGCUUACGGACAGAUCGGCAUGAUCCAGGCUCUGGGCGG